rnacentral:rRNA from 1 species
GACGGAGGGGGCUAGCGUUGUUCGGAAUGACUGGGCGUAAAGGGCGCGUAGGUUGUUUGUUAAGUUAGAUGUGAAAUCCCUGGGCUUAACCCAGGAACUGCAUUUAAAACUGAUGAACUGGAGUGUGGUAGAGGAAUUUGGAAUUCCGAGUGUAGAGGUGAAAUUCGUAGAUAUUCGGAGGAACAUCUGAGGCGAAGGCGAGAUUCUGGGCCACAACUGACACUGAGGCGCGACAGCGUGGGGAGCAAACAGG